GAUGAACGCUGGCGGCGUGCCUAAUACAUGCAAGUCGAGCGAACAGACGAGGAGCUUGCUCCUCUGACGUUAGCGGCGGACGGGUGAGUAACACGUGGAUAACCUACCUAUAAGACUGGGAUAACUUCGGGAAACCGGAGCUAAUACCGGAUAAUAUAUUGAACCGCAUGGUUCAAUAGUGAAAGACGGUUUUGCUGUCACUUAUAGAUGGAUCCGCGCCGCAUUAGCUAGUUGGUAAGGUAACGGCUUACCAAGGCAACGAUGCGUAGCCGACCUGGGAGGGUGAUCGGCCACACUGGAACUGAGACACGGUCCAGACUCCUACGGGAGGCAGCAGUAGGGAAUCUUCCGCAAUGGGCGAAAGCCUGACGGAGCAACGCCGCGUGAGUGAUGAAGGUCUUCGGAUCGUAAAACUCUGUUAUUAGGGAAGAACAAAUGUGUAAGUAACUAUGCACGUCCUGACGGUACCUAAUCAGAAAGCCACGGCUAACUACGUG
rnacentral:rRNA from 1 species